rnacentral:rRNA from 1 species
UACGGAGGGUGCGAGCGUUGUCCGGAAUCACUGGGCGUAAAGGGCGCGUAGGCGGCGCGGUAAGCGUGCGGUGAAAGCCCGGGGCUCAACCCCGGGUCGGCCGUGCGGACUGCCGGGCUGGAGCACUGUAGAGGCAGGUGGAAUUCCGGGUGUAGCGGUGGAAUGCGUAGAGAUCCGGAAGAACACCGGUGGCGAAGGCGGCCUGCUGGGCAGUAGCUGACGCUGAAGCGCGACAGCGUGGGGAGCAAACAGG